AGUGAACGCUGGCGGCAGGCCUAACACAUGCAAGUCGAACGGCAGCACAGUAUGAGCUUGCUCUUACGUGUGGAGAGUGGCAGACGGGUGAGGAUUACAUCGGAAUCUCCUUUUUCGUGGUGGAGAACGUAGGGAAACUUACGCUAAUACCGCAUCCGACCCACGGGUGAAAGCAGGGGAUCUCCGGACCUUGCGCGAUUGUAUGGGCCGAUGUCGGAGUAGGUAGUUGGCGGGGUCACGGCCGCCCAAGCCGGCGACCCGUAGCUGGUCUGAGAGGAUGAUAGGCGACACUGGAAGUGAGACACGGUCCAGGCUCCUGCGAGAGGCAGCAGUGGGGAAUAUUGGACAAUGGGCGCAAGCCUUGUCCAGCGAGACCGCGUGGGUGAAGGAGGCCUUCGGGUUGUAAAGCCCUUUUGUUGGGAGAGAAAAGCAUCAGGUUAAUACCCCGCUGUUCUGACGGUACCCAAAAAAUAAGCACCGGCUAACUUCGUG
rnacentral:rRNA from 1 species